rnacentral:rRNA from 1 species
AUGAAUCAUCAGCGCCGGCGGGCCACACUCCGCGACCCUGGUUUUUCCGAAGAGGCUUCCAAUGCCUUCAACUCAGGUGAUGCAUACAUCCGAGCUGCUCGAGAUGGGCUUGCUAGAGCCACAGACCAGUAUUUGAAAGAUAUACGGUUUCUCACAGAGAAGAAUAACCUGUUGUCUCAAGAGCUGGAGAAGAGUCAAACCCAGCUAAGGGCCGCAACUGCCGAACUAGAGGAAUCCAAGAAGGACUCAACUGAUUCCGCAGAUAAUCCCGGAGUGAAUCCGGAGAUCCUACAAGAUGAUGAACAAAGAGCUCAAACACACCUAGAUGGUGGUGAGCGUAUACUUACACGGGUCAGGCAGGAGAAAAACGAUCUCCAAGAUGCCAAUACCCGGCUGGGCAUAGAAUUAAAAGAUGUUCGGGCCCAGCUGGUUGACUCCAUGAAGGAAAAUAAAAGGCUUCAACGCGGCAUUUUUAGUAUGCUGACUGAUCGUCCCGAAGAGGAGAUGCCCGGAUCCUCAGGCGAUCUGCUACAAGAGCUUUUGUAA